AAAGACAAUAAGAAAAUGGUCCACAUCAUGUGAGAUACAGUGUCUAAGGACCCACAAAUCAGCCAAGGACCCCUGCCUGAGUCAGUGCGCAGGGUGGACUGGCUCUGAGGAUGAAUCGUGGCUGUGUAGCGAAGGAGACAAUUGUCUGUAGGACCCCUGCCUUAUUUGUCACAGAAGUUGGAAGGAUUUUUCCUACUGUGGACUCAAAGCAGCACCCCGCAGCGCUUUCUGCAAUCAACAGCCCAUCCCUUAGAACAACGUGUGUUUCUUGUCCAGGCUUUCAGUAGCAUGUGCACAGAAACACCACUGCAAAGGCAUAUGUGGACCUGCUAGAAAAGUGUCGCUGCACGAGAUGGCAUAGCAUGCCGCUGGGAGACAGCGGAGCUACUCAGAUAUGAAAAGGUCUUAGCGGCUGGGCUGUACAGCUCGGGAUGAUACUCACACAUUCUGCAACUCCGCAUCAAGGGUCUGUUUGCUGGAGCCAUCCUCUGCAGGGAACCUCAUCGCAGUCAGACUAAUUCACGGAUUUCUAUUCUUUUGCUACCAAAGCUGCGCAGUUGACUCAAGAAGUCAUAACCAGUCCAUUUCCAAUCAGAGGUUAGAUGCUUUAAGUGCUUGCUGUUUCUUGUUUGGAAGAAGCUAGUGUCAGCCCACUGAGCCUGUUCCAGUGGAAUCUCACAGAGUCAGCUGAGAAGAGGAAUAAACUAGGAGAAAGAAUACUCAUGGUCUGGUAAACCACAAACAUUUCUGCCCUGGAACAUCUGUGGUGUGUCUAAACUAACAGGAAUGUAAAAGCUAGUUAACUGGCAAUCCACCACCACAAACCCUUAAAGUAAUCUCCACUUGGGUUCUUGAAAAAUAAGGCACCCAAAAUCACUAAUCACUUGGCCUGGAUGGUCACAUGGACCUAUGUAACUUAGACAUCUGAUGUGUAACUCUGUAAUUACUUGUAUGAGUUAACUCAACAGGUAUUGCCAGCCUGUGUUCUGAUUCGCUUGAGUACCAUACCACAGCUCAGAAUGAAUUAUCACAGACAAUCAACUCCUAUUAUUAGGAAGGGAGGUGCUAAUAUUUCUUUUGAUCCAAUAAACACCUUCCACAGGGGUGACAGGGGAAAAAAAGUAGCAUCUUAGUCACUUCUGUCACUCUUCUAGUUUUCAAUAAA